ACUCCUGCGCGCGCUCUAGCUUCCGCCGCGCACGGCACUCGGUGGCAGCGCCCGGCGUCCGCGGACUGCUGCGCUUGUGCGGACUUCCGCACUUCGCAUUGCUUUGUAGAACCGUGCGCCGUUUUGACACCGCACUUUGUGGAGAAUGCGGAAAUCAGCGCAACAGUGUCGGUUGGCUGCUUUCUUCAAAUGAUGGACUACACUGAAGGUGAAAGAUGCCUUACGUAUUGGCAGCCAACAACACAUAUCAUCACCGAAUUUCCGAGAGAAGAACUGCUAACAAAUCUACCGAGAACCAAGUACAGUAGCCUUCAGGUUACUUCACGUGCAGGAAUGCUGACUGCAGGUGGGAAUGAAAAGUGGAAUCUGUAGACAAAGAAAUUCUGAGGAACUGCUCGCACUCUAAGUAGCUAAACUGAACAAUGGAAAGAGUAAUAAAGGAUUGUUACUUAAUUAUGUACUUCUGGAAGUUUAAAAGUACCACUGAGAAUAGUCAUCUGACGUUCGCGCACAAUAUUCUGUGGCAAGUGGAGGAUGAUCGUGGAGUAGAAAUGGUGAAUUAUUAGGAGAAGAGGGGGGAAAAUUUUGGUGGAGCAGGUGGUGCCGGUGUUUCCGAAGAGAGCUGUG